rnacentral:rRNA from 1 species
UACAGAGGGUGCAAGCGUUAUUCGGAAUUACUGGGCGUAAAGCGCGCGUAGGCGGACUGUUAAGUCGGUUGUGAAAGCCCUGGGCUCAACCUAGGAACUGCAUCCGAUACUGGCAAUCUAGAGUUUAAGAGAGGGAAGUGGAAUUCCUGGUGUAGCAGUGAAAUGCGUAGAUAUCAGGAGGAACAUCAGUGGCGAAGGCGACUUCCUGGCUUAAAACUGACGCUGAGGUG